rnacentral:lncRNA from 1 species
GCCCUUGCCUUUGUCUCAAUUAUAGCUUGCCCACAAAAUUGGUUACCAGUACAAGCCACCAAUGUUUUCAUUAGAAUAGAAGGUUCAGGUGAAAACCUCUCUUUUAAUAGAGGUUCUUUAAGCAAUGCAUCAAGUUUUGAGUUUUCAACAUUAGGUAUGAUUAUGUUUUGUUCCACAGUAAGUCUUAGUUCACCAGUACCAUACUUAUCAGCUAAAUUAGCAAGUUCAUCCAUCUCAUAUGCUUGGACUCUACCAACUGGAAUGUGAAUCCCAACAUAGCUUAAGCCCUCUUGCUUUUGUGGAUGAACACCUAAGUAAUCUCUUCUUUCCCAUUGUUUCUCAACCAUUUCUUCCUCAGAUGCUCUCUCUAGUUUCUUCCCUGGCAUUCUUUUUUCUAUCUCUGACCUGAAUACUUCUAUACCCUGCAUUUACCAAAUAUGUAUAAUUAAACAAUAAAAAUAGUAAAUAUUAAAGUUUGUGUAUAUAUAUAUAAUUCUAACAACCAUAUUAUUUGUAUGUUUGUGUGAAACUUUAAGGUUUAUAACACAAAGUACAGAUGACAUUUUUGUUAUUUUAACAUAGGGGUGACCAUGGGUCGGGUUGGGACAGGUUAAGGCUUGUCCUUACCCGGCCCUAAAUAUUGGGCGGUCACUUUUUUGAAUCUGGACCCAACCCUAGACCCGAAGCUAAUCCGACCAUAAAUAGCGAUCGGGUCGAUCUUUAAACCCGACUCGACCCUAGACCCGAUUAAAUAUAAUACAUACUCGUUGACAUCUAAGCCUAAAACCUAUGCUCAAAAUGUGCAUGUAUAUUGUUUAUAUAAAGAGGAUGUAGACUUGAUCUUGUGAAAUUCUAAAUCUAGGCAUAGAAGGAUACGUAAUUGCAUUGAUGUCAUUUAUGGCCACAUAUAAAAGGGGCUAUUUGCUAGCUUCUUCUAAGUCAAAUAACACAGAAGGAAAAGAUAGAAAAGGGUAGGAGAUAAUCGAACAAAAUCUAUUGAAUUGAAACAAAUAGAGUAAAAACAAAACAAAAAAAAAACAAGGUGCUUCCAAAUGGUCGAUAAGAUAUACCAAAAGAAGGCAAAAAAAUCUAUAAAGCUGAAGGUGAUACCUUCUUUUUAAUUCCAUUUUUGGAAUACAUGCGGGGAAUGGGGAUUGGAUUUCAUCCUUGUCAUCCACCUGGGUGCAAAAGAGACUCCCCUAUGUGUGAAAGAGGAUCUUUUGAGUGUUAUUAAAUCUCAAAAAUAAUCUAAUACCCUAAACAAAAAUGAAAAGUGUUCAAAAUUUACAAGAAUUUCAAUUUGAAUACAUUUUUAAUAAGUUUUCAACUUUUCAUUGAUUACUAAAUCGUACUAAAAUUCGAAACAUUUUUAUUUAUUAUUAUGGCUAAUUUAAGACGUUUUUUUUACACUUUUUGCCCUUUUUAUGAGAUAUAGGGAGUAUUAGAUAGGUGUAUAACUAAUAAAUGGGUAAAAAUAACUGCAAUUGUAGACUAAGAAAAAAUUAGUAAAACAGGGGUAAAAUACAAAUAUUAGGUUUCAUUAAGAGGUAAAUAGUUUUAUGGGUAAUUUCUGUGUUUCUUUUUUCUUCAGUGAAAUGAUAAAUGUGAAAAUGCAAAUAGAAAGGAGAGACGUGAUUUAAAAAACCUCCACUUUUCAUUUGCUAUUCUUUUUCAAUCCACGUCACUCCUAUCACCUAGUUCAAUCAGGUAUGAAAAUGAGUGUUUUUCCAUAAAUAAAUAAAAAUAAAUGACACUGCUUUCAUGUUGGGCUUUGAAGUUUCCCAAGCAAAAAACUCUAGGAAGUGAAAAGGAACACACGUGAUCUUAUCUACGUACACGUGAAGUCGUGAACUCUCCAACCGUCGAAGUCAUUGCAUCAAGGGAUGCUACAAUUACAGGUAGUAUUUGGGGGUAUGCUCCAAGCAUUCUUUGGUAUGCUCUAAAACAAAGGUUUAAUAGGACUCAAGAAUGAAGUGAUACAUAAGUGCAGGUUGAAGUACAACAUAUCAAAUAUUCCAAAAAAAUUAUUGUCUUUAUAUUUCUAUCCAAUCAAAUUCUAAUAAAUAAUAUAAAAAUAUUAGUUUAUAUUUUUAUAAAUUUUCUUUUUAAUGAAAUGCAGACAAGUGAUCAUGUUACUUGAAUAAUCCACUUCCCCUUGAUGCCCACAAAGGUACAAUAUUGAAUGAAUUUAGGUGCAUAAUUGUCUUUAAGAUACAUCAAAAUAAUGGAUAAAGAUUUGUUGUUCUAAAUUAUGUCUCAAGUCAUGUUUUAGAUUGAUAAAAAUAUAUCAUGUCAAUUAAAAAAAUUAAAUAUUUAUGAUUUUUCUGUUUUUGUUUAAAUAUCAUUGAUUUAUGAUAUGGUUUGAAAGACACUUUACAAAAUGAUGACAUCAUAGAAUUUGGCUUGCAUGGGAAAUUUUUGCACAUAUGGUGGUGAUGCAACGUGUUACCAUCGAAAUGCUGUAUUCCUUUGUUAGUGAAUUUAUUUAUUCUAAAAAGAUCCGAAUGGUUCAAAGAUGGAUCGUGUUUCAGCCUCUAUGCAUUAUAAAAGAAGUUGGGCCUGGAAAUUGUGAUUGUUCAAUGCACAAUCCAUUAUUAUCAAUGUCGCAUGAUUUAAAAACCGAAUGGAAGAAUAUUGCAUACAUCUCUAAGAAAUGAAACUGGUAACUUGAAAACUAUAAUGAUUAAAUAUGACUUCUCCAAAAGCAUAUACAUGCAUAUCAUACUUUGCUACAUCUCAAUUAAUCACCCAUCUUAUAUAUAUAAUUUUUUAUUUAUUUUUCCUAGUCACAAAUAUUCUUUAUAUGAGUCAAUCAUGUUGGAGGCGGAGACAUUAUAGUAGAGAAAAAAUAUAUGCAUUAAUAAUGUAUCAGUCUUAUAUUGUUGCAUCAUUCAUUUUUAUUUAUUUUUUCUAGUCACAAUAUUAUUUAUAUGAGUCAAUCAUAUUGGAGCCACACAUUCAUAGUAGAGAAAAAAAUGUAUGCAUUAAUAAUGUAUCAGUUUUAUAUAUUAUUAUUGCAUCAUUCAUUAUUCAAGUUUUAUCAUUAUUAACUCUUCUAAAAAUUAAUACAAAUAAAUAGUAGAUAAUAUAAUAAUUGUGUAUAAAUUUUUACACCAUAGAUAUUAUACUCUUCAUAAUAUAGUUAGGCUAGCUCUUUAGGAAAUUUUCUUUAUCCAUAAGACUAGACUUGAAUCAUAGACUUUCCUGAGGGAAUUAAGAAUGUAACACUAGCACUAGCCACACAUUUAUAUUAUUUCUUUUAAUUAAUAAAAAAUUACCAUUGACCUAUAAAAUUUAAUCAUCCCCUUCUCUGUUCCUUUUGACAGCUCCAAAAUGAUUUACUAAUAUGUCUGCCACAAUGGGCACCAAGUCCUUGCAAGGGACACCCUUCUUAUACACCUCAGCCAAAUGUGAAUCAGUUCCAAUUCUCCCUCCAAGGAAAAUAUCCACACCUUCAGUAACCUUACCAUUCUCAUCCCUAGUCAUACACCCCAUGAAACCAAUAUCAGCAACUUGCACCUGCCCACAAGUGUUAGGACAACCAGUCCAAUGCAUCCUCACUUUCCUAGUCACUGCCACUUCCCUCUCAACUUCUUCAGUCACUUUCAAAGCCCUUGCCUUUGUCUCAAUUAUAGCUUGCCCACAAAAUUGGUUACCAGUACAAGCCACCAAUGUUUUCAUUAGAAUAGAAGGUUCAGGUGAAAACCUCUCUUUUAAUAGAGGUUCUUUAAGCAAUGCAUCAAGUUUUGAGUUUUCAACAUUAGGUAUGAUUAUGUUUUGUUCCACAGUAAGUCUUAGUUCACCAGUACCAUACUUAUCAGCUAAAUUAGCAAGUUCAUCCAUCUCAUAUGCU